GACCUCGGAUCAGGUAGGAAUACCCGCUGAACUU
rnacentral:rRNA from 2 species